rnacentral:rRNA from 1 species
GACGAACGCUGGCGGCGUGCUUAACACAUGCAAGUCGAACGGAAAGGCCCUGCUUUUGUGGGGUGCUCGAGUGGCGAACGGGUGAGUAACACGUGAGUAACCUGCCCUUGACUGUGGGAUAACUUCAGGAAACUGGGGCUAAUACCGGAUAGGAGCUCCUGCUGCAUGGGGGGGGUUGGAAAGUUUCGGCGGUUUGGGAUGGACGCGCGGCUUAUCAGCUUGUUGGGGGGGUAGUGGCAUACCAAGGCUUUGACGGGUAGCCGGCCUGAGAGGGUGAACAGCCACAAUGGGACUGAGAGACGGCGCAGACUCCUACGGGAGGCAGAGGUGGGGAGUAUUGCACAAUGGGCGGAAGCCUGAUGCAGCAACGCCGCGUGCGGGAUGACGGCCUUCGGGGUGUAAACCGCUUUCGCCUGUGACGAAGCGUGAGUGACGGUAAUGGGUAAAGAAGCACCGGCUAACUACGUG